GGGGGGAUUUUUAUUCACGGGGAGAAAAUUUUAGACGGGUGGAGAGAAUGAACAAGAGGGAAAACAACAGAAAAAACCCUAUCUUAAAACUAAUCCAGGGAGAGGCCGCCGCCUCCUGGUGAAAAGGAGAACCAGAGCUCCCUCACCCGAGGGAGAGUUUUGGGACUUUUGCUCCCACAAUCAUUCUUCCCCAGCUUACCAUCACAAGCCCUGAACCCAGCAUUUCCCGGCCAUCUCUCUUCCUUUUCCUCGGCCAGCACCAUAUUUUAGCCAAAGACAAACCAAACAGAGCCCCCUGGUUUUGAUUUUUCCAGCCGGCCGCAGGACUGACCUUCCCUUCUCCUUCCAGCCGACCGCAGGACUGACCUUCCCUUCUCCUUCCAGCCGACCUCCAACUUCAAAAGACCCAGCCAAGGACAGAACAACCCAUCUCCCCCUGCCUCAGCCGGAUUAGAGCAUCCGGCCAAAACCAAGGAGAAGCCGCCCCCCCAAACUGCAGAAAGAAAUAAAUCGGAGAGCACCUCCUCGUCUCUGCUCUCUAUCCAAGCCAGACAGCAGCGGUCCUUCCCUUCUCUGAGGCAAAGAAACCAGCGACCCUCUCUCGGCCACCGACUCCAGGCCACAUCCUUCCCUCAGCCGGCUCUCUCCCAAACAGCCACAGCUGGAACCGGGGAGCCAAAGGGAGGCCGCCGCUCCUAUUUUUUGCUGUCUUCUUCUUCGCCCGACAGACCCGAGUCCGGCUUUCUUCUUCCCCAGCCGCCUCUGUUUUUUUGGCCAAAACCUGAGUGAGCCAAAGUCACCGCCAACCACUGAAGCUGAGGAGAAGAAGAAGCUCUCCCAACCACCAAAUCCAUCAUCGGCAGAAGGAAAAUAAACAGAGAAGGGAGAAGGAGUUGGAACCGGCCAGAUCUAAAAAACAAAACCCAUUGCUGUUUGUGCGUUUUCUCUCUGUUGCAGGUGACAGAUUUCCUCACCGCAGGCAGGUGAAUUCACGCGCCGCCAGGGGCGGUGGCGCGUGGAGGAGACGCGCCGCCACUUGUCAUAGCCACAGAAGAUGCCCAGAAUUCUCCAGCACUGUUCCCGAAGCUAUUUUUGUAAUUUUUAAAUGUUGCUGUAUAUGUCUGGAUACUGUUGUGUUUUGAUUUACUUUUUUUUUUUUUUGUUAUUUUGUAAACAUGUAAUUAUGGGUGAGAAAAUAGUAAAAAGGGAUGUGUGUGUUUGUAUCUCUUUUUAUUUAUGUUAUUGAACUAUAAAAAUCAAAGAGACAGAAUUGAGUGUUUAAUUUGAAUAUGAUUAAAUAUCUCAAGGAUAAAUAAAAUCAAGUUGUAUUUUCUUGAAAAUGUAAGAACGUGUUUCUAUAUAUUUCAGGAUUUAAUAACUGAC
rnacentral:lncRNA from 1 species